rnacentral:rRNA from 1 species
UAAUAAGCGGAGGAAAAGAAACCAACCGGGAUUCCCUGAGUAACGGCGAGUGAAACGGGAUGAAGCUCAGCACCAAACGUUGCACUGCAUGAAAGAUUGCAGGAGCGAUGAUUGUGGUGUUUCAGAGGACCAUUCUUCCCGCAGUCUGGGUACGCUUAAGUCCCUUUUGAAUGAGGCCAAUAGCCAUAGAGGGUGAAAGCCCCUGUGCAGCGUUUCCUGGUCUGCGGGAGUGGUCUAUCUGUAGAGUCGGGUUGCUUGAAAGUGCAGCCCUAAGCUCGAGGUAAACUCCUCGUAAAGCUAAAUACGACCAGUAAAUCGAUAGUGCACAAGUACCGUGAGGGAAAGUUGAAAAGGACUUUGAAGAGAGAGUUCAAUAGUACGUGAAACCGUUUUAGAGUAUAAGCGGAUGGCACCCCGAAGGUCGAGUGUGGGCUAUGCUUGGCAAAGUACUUGUAAGUCGCUUGGACUCAACACGGGACUAUAAGCGAUUGUAUCCGGCACUGGGAUUUAGUUUGACGUUCACCGCUCAUUGCUCUCGGGCUUUGAUGUGAAUUCUGCUUGCCCUGAUGUCGCGUAAGAUUGCUCGUGUUGAAUUCCUCACACUUGAUCGCUGCGAACCAUCGGUUGGUUAUAAGAGCUCGGUCGUCUCAAUUCUGUCAAAGAAUUGAAAUGUGAAUACGAUGUACAUAUGCAGUUGUUUCCUUCGGGAUCUUCUGUGGACAUUGUUGAGCGGCCGAUGCAUUCUCUAUUGAUUCCAAUAGUGAAAAAUAAUCCGAUGGUUAACAAAGCAAAUGCCCUUCUGGUUUCGGCUGGAAACUAGGCAAUUUAAGACCUAGUCGUGGCGUUUUUCGGCAGCGUGUAGAUCGGUGAUCCAUCCGACCCGUCUUGAAACACGGACCAAGGAGUCUAUCAUAUGUGCGAGUCAUUGGGUGAACUAAACCCACAGGCGCAAUGAAAGUGAUUUGGGCAGAUCCUACCCGUUGUGCUCCUUUGAGUAUGGGUCAGGCGCAUGCCCGGGACUCUCAGUCUACCCUUUUGCGGUAGGAGAGUACCUUGAGCAGAUGUGAUAGUACCCGAAAGAUGGUGAACUAUGCCUGGCCAGAACGAAGCCAGAGGAAACUCUGGUGGAGGUUCGUAGCAAUUCUGACGUGCAAAUCGAUUGUCAGAGCUGGGUAUAGGGGCGAAAGACUAAUCGAACCAUCUAGUAGCUGGUUCCCUCCGAAGUUUCCCUUAGGAUAGCUGGAGCCCGGAGAAAUGAAAUUAUCGUUUUACGAAGUUUCAUCCGGUAAAGCAAAUGAUUGGAGGAAUUGGGAACGAAAAGUUCUCAACCUACUCUCAAACUUUAAAUGGGUGAGAGGCAGUGCUUUCUUAAUUGAAGCAACUGCAUUGAAUUCGAGCUCCAAGUGGGCCAUUUUUGGUAAGCAGAACUGGCGCUGUGGGAUGAACCAAACGCAGUGUUAAGGUGCCUAAUCGAAUGCUAAUUCUUAGAUAUCAUGAAAGGCGUUGGUUGCUAUAGACAGCAGGACGGUGGCCAUGGAAGUCGGAAUCCGCUAAGGAGUGUGUAACAACUCACCUGCCGAAGCAACCAGCCCUGAAAAUGGAUGGCGCCAAAGCAUUCAACCGAUACACUGCCGUCGGUGGCAUUAAGGAAGCAAUGCUUUGUUUCUCGAAGCCCCGACGAGUAGGAGGUGCGCUGCGGUGUGCGUUGAAGGUACUGGCGUGAGCUGGACUGGAGCCGCCGCUGGUGAAUAUCUUGGUGGAAGUAGCAAGUAUACAAGAGCAUACCUUGUGGCCUGACGUGGAGAAGGCUUCCAUGUGAAUAUCAGUUAGACAUGGGUGAGUCGGUCCUAAGUCCAAUGGCGCAAGCCACUUCUUCAUUGAUUGGGUGACUAAAUGAAAUUAACUUGACAUGCCACUGGAGUGUCACGAUACGAAUAUUAAUAACCCGCAGUAUACUCUUUGUUGUAAAAAAUAAAAAGGAGAGAGGAGGAGGAGGAGGAGGAGGAGGAUGAUAAGAAGUUUGNGUUNCUUNCUUCCUUCCUUCCUUCCUUCCUUCCUUUCUUUCUUUUUAUAUCAGAUACUUGCGGGAGUUACUAUUCAUACGGCUUCAGGCUCGGUUCCUUGAAUCGCACGCACUAAGCCAAGCACCCAGGAAGGAGUUUUGGACGAAAGGGGAUACGGUCAAAAUUCCGUAACAAGAUCCGGAUGAGCUGCUGGGGCUUUAAUUGCCCUCGAUGUCCAAUCUUGGGCAUGGCAGGUCCCGACCGCCCGGUAACGGGAGUAGACCCUCAGACGCCGGCGACCGUUGCAGAAAGAGUUUUCUUUUCUGUUUAAGACGGCGUGACCCUGGAAGCAAUUUGCUCGGAGAAAGGGUAGUUUUCGCCGUACAGCAUCGCGAUUUUCGUGAUGUCUGCAGCGCUGUCAGUUGGCCCUUGAAAAUGAGGUGCAGGGACAUGUCUCAUUCAAAAUGGACGAGCUAACCACUCUCCUCGAGACAUAUAUUAUUCUCGGAUCAUUCCGUACCAGAAUCCGCAUCAGGUCUCCAAGG